AACGAACGCUGGCGGCAGGCCUAACACAUGCAAGUCGAACGGGACCUUCGGGUCUAGUGGCGGACGGGUGAGUAACGCGUGGGAACGUGCCCUUUGGUUCGGAAUAGCCCCGGGAAACUGGGAGUAAUACCGGAUAAGACCUACGGGGGAAAGAUUUAUCGCGAAAGGAUCGGCCCGCGUUGGCUUAGGUAGUUGGUGAGGUAAGGGCUCACCAAGCCGACUAUCCAUAGCUGGUUUGAGAGGAUGAACAGCCACACUGGGACUGAGACACGGCCCAGACUCCUACGGGAGGCAGCAGUGGAGAAUCUUAGACAAUGGGGGAAACCCUGAUCUAGCCAUGCCGCGUGAUCGAUGAAGGCCUUAGGGUUGUAAAGAUCUUUCAGUGGGGAAGAUAAUGACUGUACCCACAGAAGAAGCCCCGGCUAACUCCGUGCCAGCCGCCGCAGUAA
rnacentral:rRNA from 1 species